UGUGAAGAUCAGCACAGCCUGAAGC
rnacentral:piRNA from 1 species